rnacentral:rRNA from 1 species
UACGUAGGGUGCGAGCGUUAAUCGGAUUUACUGGGCGUAAAGCGUGCGCAGGCGGUCCGCUAAGACAGGUGUGAAAUCCCUGGGCUCAACCUAGGAAUUGCGCUUGUGACUGGCGGGCUAGAGUACGGUAGAGGGGGGUGGAAUUCCUGGUGUAGCAGUGAAAUGAGUAGAGAUCAGGAGGAAAACCGAUGGCGAAGGCAGCCCCCGGGGCCUGUACUGACCCUCAGGCACGAAAGCGUGGGGAGCAAACAGG